UGCAGUUGCUGUCUCAAGCUU
rnacentral:miRNA from 1 species